rnacentral:misc_RNA from 1 species
AACCCUCAAAGAUCCUUUUUGGACUUACUGAAAAGGAUUUUUUGGACUUGGAGGUUUAAUGCUUGCCUUUCACCUUUGAAAGUGAGCUCCUCUCAAAUGAAUUAGUGGGGUCUGCUUUGCUCGAUCCUUGACGUGAUAAGAUGUUUCUACGUUUUGGAUUUUGGCACUGUUCCUUGGAUGCCUGCUUCUAACUGUCUCACAGACAAUGGAUGGUGCUCCGGUCCCUACCGCCUAACGUCGGUGGGAGGCUGGACCCACGAAUGAAAA